GACGAACGCUGGCGGCGUGCUUAACACAUGCAAGUCGAACGGAAAGGCCCUGCUUGCAGGGUGCUCGAGUGGCGAACGGGUGAGUAACACGUGGGUGAUCUGCCCUUCACUUCGGGUUAAGCCUGGGAAACUGGGUCUAAUACCGGAAAGGCGCGAGGUUUAGUGUGAUGGUUGGACAGUCUUUUCGGUGUAGGAUGAGCUCGCGGCCUAUCAGCUUGUUGGUGGGGUAAUGGCCUACCAAGGCGGCGACGGGUAGCCGGCCUGAGAGGGUGGACGGCCACAUUGGGUCUGAGGGACGGCCCAGACUGCUACGGGAGGCAGCAGUGGGGAAUAUUGCACCAUGGGCGCCAGCCUGAUGCAGCGACGCCGCGUGGGGGAUGACGGCCUUCGGGUUGUAAACUCCUUUCGCUAGGGACGAAGCUUUUUGUGACGGUACCUAGAUAAGAAGCACCGGCUAACUACGUG
rnacentral:rRNA from 1 species